GAUGAAGAACGUAGCGAAAUGCGAUACGUAAUGUGAAUUGCAGAAUUCAGUGAAUCAUCGAAUCUUUGAACGCAUAUUGCGCUCUCUGGUAUUCCGGAGAGCAUGCUUGUUUGAGUAUCAGUAAACACCUCAACUUCCAUAUCUUUUUUUGAAAUGGGAGUUGGACUUGAGUGAUCCCAACGCUUUUCCUCACCGAAAAGUGGCGGGUUACUUGAAAUGCAGGUGCAGCUGGACUUUGCUCGGAGCUAUAAGCAUAUCUAUUUAGUCUGCCUAAAAAACAGAUUAUUACCUUUGCUGCAGCUAACAUAAAGGAGAUUAGUUCUUGUGCUGACUGAUGCAGGAUUCACAAAGACAGCUUCGGCCGACUUUGUAAACUCGAUCUCAAAUCAAGUAAGACUACCCGCUGAACUUAAGCAUAUCAAUAAGCGGAGGA
rnacentral:misc_RNA from 1 species